rnacentral:rRNA from 1 species
UGAAAUCUGGCCCCCGGGUCCGAGUUGUAAUUUGUAGAGGAUGCUUUUGGUGAGGUACCUUCCGAGUUCCCUGGAACGGGACGCCAUAGAGGGUGAGAGCCCCGUCUGGUCGGAUACCGAUCCUCUGUAAAGCUCCUUCGACGAGUCGAGUAGUUUGGGAAUGCUGCUCUAAAUGGGAGGUAUAUGUCUUCUAAAGCUAAAUAUAGGCCAGAGACCGAUAGCGCACAAGUAGAGUGAUCGAAAGAUGAAAAGCACUUUGAAAAGAGGGUUAAACAGUACGUGAAAUUGUUGAAAGGGAAGCGCUUGUGACCAGACUUGGGCCCGGUUAAUCAUCCAGCGUUCUCGCUGGUGCACUUGGCCGGCCCAGGCCAGCAUCAGUUCGGCGUGGGGGAUAAAGGCGGCGGGAAUGUGGCUCCUCCGGGAGUGUUAUAGCCCACCGUGUAAUACCCUGUGCUGGACUGAGGUUCGCGCAUUCGCAAGGAU